AAUUUGUAAUAAACCUGUAAUUUGUAAUUCCUAGGUUGCCCGUAUUUAAGAGUUCUUCUAAAGCUCUCUGGCCACUUCUGUGCAUGGUAUCUAACCUUGCCCCUAAAGCAGUAUUUCCAAUACUACUAUCCAUGGGAACGUCAAAACCUACAGAUUGGGAUUGGAUUGAACCCACCCUUCAGGAAUUAAGAGAUAUGUCUGUAAAUGGGAUUUACAUCAAUGAAAGGCAUUACCGAGGUCGAAGUUGCAUUAGACGAAAUGAGAAUGCUCCAGGGAUUGGUCAGAAAGAAAGUGUCUACUGAGAGAAAGGAGAUUUAUCAAUGCAAAUAGAAAUAUGACUUGAUCCGGAUGGAAAAGAAGCUACAAACGGAACCCUUCAGAUCAGAGCUGAUCACGGAGCUUGGAUUUAAGACAGGCGUGUCGGUUAAUCACAGCAUCAAGCUAAUGAUGAAAGAGAUAGAAACAGCGACUGUAUGGGGUCUCUACAACUGGAAGGGACAGAGAGGAAAGAUCUCUAUAGGCAGAAUACUUUGCCUAAUCUCGUCAGAGCCAUUACCCGUGCAGUCCAGAACUGGAACAAGAAAGCCAGUGACCAUGAAAUUGGUCAAACCUUCUG